rnacentral:lncRNA from 1 species
CGGAGUGGCACAUUCUGCGGCCUUUUGAGGCCAAAGGGAGCAGGAAGAAGAGAGACUUCCUGUAAGGAGGAAUCUCAAUGAUGAACAGCUCAAAAGGGGCCGUUAGAACAAUACACGUGCAGAG